rnacentral:rRNA from 1 species
CGCGUAGGCGGUUUGGCAAGUCAGAUGUGAAAUCCCCGGGCUUAACUCGGGAAUUGCAUCUGAAACUGCUUUUCUUGAGUCCUGGAGGGGUAGUGGAAUUCCCAGUGUAGCGGUGAAAUGCGUAGAUAUUGGGAGGAACACCUGUGGCGAAGGCGGCUACCUGGACAGUGACUGACGCUGAGGCGCGAAAGCUAGGGGAGCGAACG